AGUUAUCGUUUAUUUGAUAGUAACCAUACUACUUGGAUAACCGUGGGUAAUUCUAGAGCUAAUACAUGCUAAAAAACCUCGACUUUCGGAAGAGGUGUGUUUAUUAGAUUAAAGACCAAUGCCCUCCGGGGGCUCACUGGUGAUUCAUAAUAACCUCUCGAAUCGCACGGCCCUGCGCCGGCGAUGGUUCAUUCAAAUUUCUGCCCUAUCAACUUUCGACUUUAGUGUAGUGGACUAAAGUGGUUGCAACGGGUAACGGAGGGUUAGGGCUCGACCCCGGAGAAGGAGCCUGAGAAACGGCUACUACAUCCAAGGAAGGCAGCAGGCGCGCAAAUUACCCAAUCCCGACACGGGGAGGUAGUGACAAUAAAUACUGAUACAGGGCUCUUUCGGGUCUUGUAAUUGGAAUGAGUACAAUUUAAAUCCCUUAACGAGGAACAAUUGGAGGGCAAGUCUGGUGCCAGCAGCCGCGGUAAUUCCAGCUCCAAUAGCGUAUAUUAAAGUUGUUGUGGUUAAAAAGCUCGUAGUUGAACCUGGGCCCCGCGCCCGCCGGUCCGCCUCACCGCGUGCACUGGCGCGGCCGGGGCUUUCACUUGGGGAACCGCAUGCCCUUCGCUGGGCGUGCGCGGAACCAGGACCUUUACUGUGAAAAAAUUAGAGUGUUCAAAGCAGGCCUAUGCUCGAAUACAUUAGCAUGGAAUAAUAGAAUAGGACGCGCGGUUCUAUUUUGUUGGUUAUGGGACCGCCGUAAUGAUUAAUAGGGCCAGUCGGGGGCAUCAGUAUUCAAUAGUCAGAGGUGAAAUUCUUGGAUUUAUUGAAGACUAACUACUGCGAAAGCAUUUGCCAAGGAUGUUUUCAUUAAUCAGGAACGAAAGUUAGGGGAUCGAAGACGAUCAGAUACCGUCGUAGUCUUAACCAUAAACUAUGCCGACUAGGGAUCGGGCGAUGUUACAUUC
rnacentral:rRNA from 1 species